rnacentral:rRNA from 1 species
GACGUAGGGCGCGAGCGUUGUCCGGAUUUAUUGGGCGUAAAGAGCUCGUAGGCGGCUUGUCGCGUCGUCCGUGAAAACUUGGGGCUCAACCCCAAGCCUGCGGUCGAUACGGGCAGGCUCGAGUUCGGUAGGGGAGACUGGAAUUCCUGGUGUAGCGGUGAAAUGCGCAGAUAUCAGGAGGAACACCGAUGGCGAAGGCAGGUCUCUGGGCCGAUACUGACGCUGAGGAGCGAAAGCGUGGGGAGCGAACAGG